AUUGAACGCUGGCGGCAGGCCUAACACAUGCAAGUCGAACGGUAGCACAGAAGAGCUUGCUCUUCGGGUGACGAGUGGCGGACGGGUGAGUAAUGUCUGGGAAACUGCCUGAUGGAGGGGGAUCACUACUGGAAACGGUGGCUAAUACCGCAUAACGUCUUCGGACAAAAGAGGGGGACCUUCGGGCCUCUUGCCAUCAGAUGUGCCCAGAUGGGAGUAGCUAUUAGGGGGGGUAAUGGCUCACCUAGGCGACGAGCCCUAGAUGGUCUGAGAGGAUGACCAGCCACACUGGAACUGAUACACGGUCCAGACUCCUACGGGAGGCAGCAGUGGGGAAUAUUGCACAAUGGGCGCAAGCCUGAUGCAGCCAUGCCGCGUGUAUGAAGAAGGCCUUCGGGUUGUAAAGUACUUUCAGCGGGGAGGAAGGUGAUACGGUUAAUAACCGUGUCAAUUGACGUUACCCGCAGAAGAAGCACCGGCUAACUCCGUGCCAGCCGCCGCCGUAACAC
rnacentral:rRNA from 1 species